rnacentral:rRNA from 1 species
CUUGAAACACGGACCAAGGAGUUUAUCGUGUACGCAAGUCAUUGGGUGAAUAAAACCCAAAGGCGUAAUGAAAGUAAAAAGUUGAAUUAUAAUUAAGAAAAAAGGAAAGCAAUUUCUUUUUAUUUUUUCUUAUAUUCACUUUUAAGGGAAGAUAGAGAAUUUAUCUAUAUAUAAUUAUUUUAGUUUACUAUUGUAAUUAUUAUAUGAUAAUAUUUCUCGCACUCCCGGGGCGCUUGUUUCACGCAUUGCGUGUCAAUGCGCACCUAGAGCGUACACGCUGAUACCCGAAAGAUGGUGAACUAUGCCUGGCCAGGACGAAGCCAGGGGAAACCCUGGUGGAGGUCCGCAGCGAUUCUGACGUGCAAAUCGAUCGUCGGAGCUGGGUAUAGGGGCGAAAGACCAAUCGAACCAUCUAGUAGCUGGUUCCCUCUGAAGUUUCCCUCAGGAUA